CUUGCUGCCCCAGCCUCCUCCUAUUGUCAUGAACCAAGGCAGGUACCAAAGGAGCCUGCUUGGACCCCUCCCCAGCUCUACACGCCUUCCCUCCCAGAGUUAAGGCUCCCUCGCCUUCAGUCAAGGGCUGGUAUCCUUGUGGCCCGCGUCUCCCAACACCUCUUGUUCGUGGGUGGACUCCAGGGGGCUUGUGGGUUGGGCUAGGAGCAGCACCCAGGAUUUCUGCCACUUCUCUCUGAGGCUGUAGGGAAAUCUCCCUGGGAAGGGGUUUCACAUGAGAUGUCGUUCCCGAUCCCGGCUGCAAACAGGACUGGAACAAGUUCCUCGUGUCGUUUCACCACGUUACGCUCCCCGACACGUGGAAGGGAGACAGGAGUAUCGGGGGAGUAUGUCCACCCAGCACAGCCCUGAGGAAGACCCCAGGCUGGAGAGCCAAGAAUGGGCAAGGCUGAGCUCUUACAUCACUGAUGUUGGAGGGUAACACUAGCAAAGACAAGGACUUACACAGAGACUGACCAUGGCAUGGGACACACUGCUGCUUGGACAAAUCUGCCCCAGGGUCUGACAACCGAACCAGCCCCAGCUCCUGGAGUCAAGCGGGUAUGUGAUGAUUUCGGCCUUCAUUCUUAAGGAAAAAGGUUGGAUCAGCCCUUUGCAAGUGGGUACGCUACAGAUGGCUGCGACAACCCCAUCACGUACAAACCCGUUUCUGGCGAUGCCUUUUGCAGGAAUCAGCACCUCCUUUGAAGGUGAGCAGGCAGUGGUGUCAAGAAUUUCUGGGAUACCACCAAGGGGGAUGCAACAAUAGGAGCUGACUGUCAGGCCACGGUAUGAAGAAGGCUGAGAAUUUUUGGUGUGGAAUAUGCGUGAGCUGUGGAAUGUGCCAAAGCAGUGGCUACCUCCAAAGAACCACCUGCUCCAUGCCAGGUGUCGCAGAAAUGAGGACAUUCCUGCACACAGAACCUUUGUCAAUGUGGUAUCUUGAAAUAAAUCAUCAUGAUUAGCA